UUAGUAUGGAGCGUGAAUCACCGUGCAAUGUAGAUAAGAGUCGGGUAUUCAGUGCCCAAGAGCAACUAGUAAUGAUCAUAAACAAAGAAGACUCCCACACUUGAAAUAUGCUUGGAUGAGCCAGUAAUUGCUGUCAUUCAGAAGACCGUAUAAUUGUGGUGCCAUUCGUCGUUUGUGUGGUCAUGUCGUGAUAGCAACUAGUUAUUGGUCAAAUUAGAUGACCACAACUCGCAAUCUGACUAUACUUGGGUGAGCUGAUAUAAAUUGCUAUCAUUCAGAAGACCGUAUAAUGAUGGUGCCAUUUGUUGUUUGUGGCCGUGAGAGCAACUCAUCAACAAAGGAAACCUCCACAUUUUGAAUAUGCUUGCAUUGAGCCCGUUUGAAAACUGUCUAUCUGAUAGCUGUAUAAUUUCGAUGAUGUGUGAUUAACAAGCGAGAUAAGUUAAUCAAUCAUUCAGCUAGUAACUAGACUAAAAUGAAUCAGAUUUUAGAAGUGUGGUUGAGCUAAAAUGAGAACCAGUUACCAUUCUGAUAUGAUGAUGACGAGAUCCAGUGUCUUCAGUCCGCGAGAGCAGCUAAUAAUUUCUUCGAUGCAGGUGCCCAGCACAUUUUAUAGGUGCAAGUAUAGAUGUACAGUUUUUUGGCGUACUUUUUAUUACAAUCCAGGUACUUUUGGUGGAUUGAAGGCUUCUGGCAUCUUAUAACUGGUCACUAUACAUAUAACUGGUCACUAUUUUAUGUACGCAAGUGUAAAUAUAGCAAAUUAUACAACAAUAAAAUACCAAACUACUAUAAUUAUCGUUUGAUUUAACUAAAAUGUAUGACAUUAUUUCAAAUUACAACGACAAAACUGCCCCCAGAACGAAAAAAAGUUACAACUGCUGUAUAAAGUACGCAUGGUUGUACCUUUUCUUGUUACGAGCGGAGAAAACCACCUUUUGCCCAAUUUAUACAUUCAUAUUUGUUCAAGAAAUAAUUCACGCAUUUUAAUAUGCGAAAUAUUUUACUUUUUCAAAUACAUCGUGAUUAAUCGGGAGACUGCAAAACUUUCCACUAAGUUUCUUAUCAAGGGAGUUAAUUUGAGAUGCAUUACUUUAAUAAUAAGUAAAAGCCAGUGUGUGAAUACGAAGGAAAUGUGGAGUAAAAUCAGCCUGCUUUUGUAUAUGCGAUGCAUUUCAUUCUUUGUGCUUUAAGAAAGUAAGGCGACGAUAUCUGAAUCUCCUAUUUCCGGUAGCUUCCGCAGUAGAAACUUCGGCACAUUGUUUCUUCCAAACCGUUUUCAGAUUUUGAUGCUAGAAACUAUAGACGAGAUUUACAACUAAAAAUAAAUUUAUUGCGGUGUCAAUUGAUGAUGCUCGAGGUCUGUCGAUGAUUUAAAAAA